CCCGCUGAACUUAAGCAUAUCAAUAAGCGAAGGAAAAGAAACUAACAAGGAUUCCCCUAGUAACUGCGAGUGAAGCGGGCAGAGCUCAAAUUUGAAAUCUGGCGGUCUCUGGGCACGAGAGGUGUUCUUGAGAGAGAGCGUCUCUCCGCGCUGAACCGUGCACGACCCUCCUGACACGGAGCGUCGUAGAGGGUGAGAAUCCCGUCUUUGGCACGGACACACCAGCGGCUUUUGCGAUGCGCUCUCGAAGAGUCGAGUUGUUUGGGUAUGCAGCUCAAUAUGGGUGGUGAACUCCAUCUAAAGCUAAAUAUCGACGAGAGACCGAUAGCGAACAAGUACCGUGAGGGAAAGAUGAAAAGCACUUUGGAAGGAGAGUGAAACAGUACGUGAAAUUGUUGAAAGGGAAACGCUUGAAGUCAGUCGCGUCGUCCGAGACUCAGCCUCGCUCUCGGCUUGGUGUACUUCUCGGGCCGUCGGGUCAGCAUCGAUUUCGCCUCUCGGAUAAUGGCGAGGGAAAAGCGACACCUUUACAGUGUGUUAUAGUCUCUCGUCGCAUGCGAGGGUCGGGAUUGAGGAACUCAGCACGCGCCCUCGGGCGUCGGGGCUGUCGCCCACGAUACGUGCUUAGGAUGUUGGCGUAAUGGCUUUAAACGACCCGUCUUGAAACACGG
rnacentral:rRNA from 1 species